UGAUGAUGAUGAUGAUGAAGAUUUAUUUCUACUUUUUUUCUGGAUUCCAUCAGUUAUUGUUUUUAACUCGAAAUGAAAUAAUGGCAUCCGAAUCC